GACGAAGGGGGGCUAGCGUUGUUCGGAAUUACUGGGCGUAAAGCGAGUGUAGGUGGUUGUCGUAGUCAGGUGUGAAAGCCUUGAGCUCAACUCAAGAAAUGCACUUGAUACUCGGCGGCUAGAGGACCGGAGAGGAUAGUGGAAUUCCCAGUGUAGUGGUGAAAUACGUAGAGAUUGGGAAGAACACCAGUGGCGAAGGCGGCUAUCUGGACGGUUUCUGACACUAAGACUCGAAAGCGUGGGGAGCAAACAGG
rnacentral:rRNA from 1 species